AGAGUUUGAUCCUGGCUCAGGACGAACGCUGGCGGCGUGCCUAAUACAUGCAAGUCGAGCGCGGGAAGCAUACAGAAGCCUUCGGGUGGACGUAUGUGGAACGAGCGGCGGACGGGUGAGUAACACGUGGGCAACCUGCCUACAAGAUCGGGAUAACACCGGGAAACCGGUGCUAAUACCGGAUGAUACUUCGUAUCACAUGAUGCGAAGAUGAAAGACGGUUUCGGCUGUCACUUGUAGAUGGGCCCGCGGCGCAUUAGCUAGUUGGUGAGAUAAUAGCUCACCAAGGCAACGAUGCGUAGCCGACCUGAGAGGGUGAUCGGCCACACUGGGACUGAGACACGGCCCAGACUCCUACGGGAGGCAGCAGUAGGGAAUCUUCCGCAAUGGACGAAAGUCUGACGGAGCAACGCCGCGUGAGUGAUGAAGGUUUUCSGAUCGUAAAACUCUGUUGUAAGGGAAGAACAAGUACGAAUUAACUACUCGUACCUUGACGGUACCUUACCAGAAAGCCACGGCUAACUACGUGCCAGCAGCCGCGGUAAUACGUAGGUGGCAAGCGUUGUCCGGAAUUAUUGGGCGUAAAGCGCGCGCAGGCGGUUCUUUAAGUCUGAUGUGAAAUCUUAUGGCUUAACCAUAAGCGUGCAUUGGAAACUGGAGAGCUUGAGUACAGAAGAGGAGAGUGGAAUUCCACGUGUAGCGGUGAAAUGCGUAGAGAUGUGGAGGAACACCAGUGGCGAAGGCGACUCUCUGGUCUGUAACUGACGCUGAGGUGCGAAAGCGUGGGUAGCAAACAGGAUUAGAUACCCUGGGUAGUCCACGCCGUAAACGAUGAGUGCUAGGUGUUAGGGGGUUUCCGCCCCUUAGUGCUGAAGUUAACGCAUUAAGCACUCCGCCUGGGGAGUACGGCCGCAAGGCUGAAACUCAAAAAGAWUUGACGGGGGCCCGCACAAGCGGGUGGAGCAUGUKGUUUAAUUCGAAGCAACGCGAAGAACCUUACCAGGUCUUGACAUCCUCUGACAGCGAUAGAGAUAUCGUGUUCCCUUCGGGGACAGAGUGACAGGUGGUUGCAUGGUUGUCGUCAGCUCGUGUUCGUGAGAUGUUGGGUUAAGUCCCGCAACGAGCGCAACCCUUAAUCUUAGUUGCCAGCAUUUAGUUGGGCACUCUAAGGUGACUGCCGGUGACAAACCGGAGGAAGGUGGGGAUGACGUCAAAUCAUCAUGCCCCUUAUGACCUGGGCUACACACGUGCUACAAUGGAUGGAACAAAGGGCAGCGAAGCCGUGAGGUGUAGCAAAUCCCAUAAAACCAUUCCCAGUUCGGAUUGUAGGCUGCAACUCGCCUACAUGAAGCAGGAAUCGCUAGUAAUCGCGGAUCAGAAUGCCGCGGUGAAUACGUUCCCGGGCCUUGUACACACCGCCCGUCACACCACGAGAGUCGGUAACACCCGAAGUCGGUGAGGUAACGCUUACGCGAGCCAGCCGCCGAAGGUGGGACCAAUGAUUGGGGUGAAGUCGUAACAAGGUAACCGUA
rnacentral:rRNA from 1 species